rnacentral:lncRNA from 1 species
GUCUGCAGGCUCAGAAGUCCAAGAUCAAGGAGCUGGCAUUGGAUGAGGGACUUCUUGCUGCAUCAUCCCAUGACAGAAGGACAAAGAAAGGGAGGGAGAGAGACAAAGAGAGAAAUAUGAGCUCCUCCAGGGCCCAGACCUCUUUCCUGUAACAAGGCUCAGAAGUACACUAUUGUGAUGAAACUUAGUAAAACUGCCUACAUGGAAUUACACUGGAAGCCCUGUAGUAAGUGGACUAUGACCAACCAAAGCUGGAAUGGAGAUGUUUGAGAGGGACUCACUUCCUGCGUCAUCAAACCCCAUGGGCUGAGGAACUUUUGUCUAGGCUGCCACAGAAGCCUUCCCUGUUAUGUCCUGUGUGUGACUGCUUGUUCCCAUCUUCAGUGCCCUCCCUCUCCUCUUCAGGAAGAAGUUCCAGGCAGGCGGUACCUCACUGAGGCCGUGCAUGAAGCCUUGACACCCCUCCCUCCCUUGGUCUUGAGCCUGUUAGAAGAAUGCUGAGGUUUUGGGCCUCCACCCGGAGGUACCCAGCAGUAACUUCAAGGAGCUAAUGAGUAAAGCACAGUAAUGAGAAUAAAUCCCAAUGAGCUUAUUAAAAUAACUGAACCACAACUUUGGCAAGGGCAGGAACCAUUGUCUGGAACUUGUUUGUCCAUUUGCAGAGUAUUGUAGCAUGCCUUUGUAUAUCCCCUCACCCUUUCAGAACAGAGAGAUUAGCAACAAAAGACAGAUUUUUCAAAGCUACACACAGCCGUGAUUUAUAUCCCGCUCUAGAGACUGUUGGGAUGGCUUCUUUGGAUUGAAAAGGGUACCAGCCGAUCUCUGUUUUAAUGGGCCACCUGGGACUUUAGCUGUAGUGUGUGUGUAAAGCAGAAGAACUCUGAUCCAACCUCCAUCUUUUUUGGAAAGGCUUCUUUGUAAUUGCUUUGGACUUUGUGAAAUUCUUCUCUCAACAAAAGUAAAAAAUGGUUUCAAGUGCUAUAACCAUUUUAUCCUGGGAGUAUGUAUAACCAACAACAUGAAAUCCCCAGGUUGCCUUUUUUCAUUGCUGGGGUAAAGAUAAUGUUUGCAGAGCAUCUCCCAGGGUUAAGGUACUUUUGGGAACUUUAGAUAAUUAAUAUUCUUGGAGGACUUGCAUCCUUAGGAGAAGGGGGCUGCAGUUGCGUAGUCUCUAACUGGUUAGUUCCAUACAAGUUCCAUGUUAAUUACACCAAGGUUAGAGGGUGAAAAAUCACAGACAAAAAUUACAAGUGAAAAUACCACCUUGCAGAAGUGUUUGGUGUUAUCUACUGUGGUUGAAUACAUGCUCAUACUAUGACCCAACAUUCGUACUUCUGAGUGUGUACCCAACAGAAUUGCACCAAAAGAUGUGUACAAGAAUGUUCACAGCAGCAUUAUUCAUAAUAGCCAAAUCCCAGAAACUACACAAAUGACCAUUGAUAGUAGAAACAAUAAACAAAUUAUGGCAUUUUUACACAAUGGAAUAAUAUAGAGCAGUUAGAAUAAAGGAUCUGCAGCUAAAUACAAUGGCAUGGAUAAAUCUCAACAAAUAUUGUUGAGCAAAAGAAGCCAAGCACAAAAAAUUUCACACUGUAGGAUCCCAUUUAUAUAAAGUCCAAAAACAGGCUAAACUAGUCUAUGGUGUUAGAAGUCAGGAGAGUUUUUACUCUUGGGAGAGGUGCAGUUCCUAGAAAAGAGCACAAGGGAGGCUCCUGGGGUAGUGAUUAGAGAGGUUCAGUUUGUGUGUUCAACUUGUGAAAAUUCACUGAGCUGUGCACUUAUGUGCACUUUUUGCAUAUAUAUUAUAAUAUGAUUAAAAGGUAAA